GAUGAACGCUGGCGGCGUGCCUAAUACAUGCAAGUCGAGCGAACAGAUAAGGAGCUUGCUCCUUUGACGUUAGCGGCGGACGGGUGAGUAACACGUGGGUAACCUACCUAUAAGACUGGAAUAACUCCGGGAAACCGGGGCUAAUGCCGGAUAACAUUUAGAACCGCAUGGUUCUAAAGUGAAGGAUGGUUUUGCUAUCACUUAUAGAUGGACCCGCGCCGUAUUAGCUAGUUGGUAAGGUAACGGCUUACCAAGGCAACGAUACGUAGCCGACCUGAGAGGGUGAUCGGCCACACUGGAACUGAGACACGGUCCAGACUCCUACGGGAGGCAGCAGUAGGGAAUCUUCCGCAAUGGGCGAAAGCCUGAUGGAGCAACGCCGCGUGAGUGAUGAAGGUCUUCGGAUCGUAAAACUCUGUUAUUAGGGAAGAACAAAUGUGUAAGUAUCUGUGGACGUCUUGACGGUACCUAAUCAGUAAGCCACGGCUAACUACGUG
rnacentral:rRNA from 1 species